rnacentral:sRNA from 1 species
CGCUCUACAACUCAGAAGGCAAGAGAACAGCUUAUUGAGUGUUUAAAGUUCAGACAGGUUAGACCAGGGUGAGCUUGGUGCAGUCUUUUUUCUUGUAGAUAUGUUGAAUUCUUGCACAGAAAUCUACCUUGAGUUGUUCCAUAAGCAUGAGGUUUUGCAAGCACAGGGUACACCCCACUAGUCAGGCCUGCAGUCAGGCCUUCCUGGACACAAUGUCUCUAAAAUAGACCACAGCCUGCUCCUGCUUAAUGUUGGAUAUAUUGUUUCUUUUGUAAGUCACAGAGUCAGUAUUUCUAUAUCCCUUCUCUUUCUCACCAGUGUAUGUUGGCCCUCCUGCCUUUCACGUUCUCUGAUCUUCCUGGCUCACAGACCAGAUAACUUCCUUCAGAAUUGAAGGGUACAAAAGGAUGAUGCUAUUUGUCUCUAUUCUUUUAUCUUAAAAAUCUGCCAAAAAUUUUGUGACCCACAGAUUUUUCCAGCAGGACAGUAAUACUUACAUCCUGGAGUCUCACAGAGGGAUGCAUUCAUAGAUAUCAUCGCUUUUGUUGAUAUCGUGUCCACGUACUCCUAGGUUCUGUCAGUUCAUCUACAACAAUGGGUUCUUUCACACCUGGAAAACUCCUUUGUCCUGGAUGAGCAUCCCCUCUGUCUCAGUGCUGGGAUUCCAGGCAUUGGCCACUAAAUCCAAUGUAGGCAACACUAGGAAGUCAAACACAGGGCCCCUGGCAUGAUAGGGAAGCAUUUGACACAACUGAGCUACAUCAACAGCCGUGUUUCAUAAAUAAUGCAGGACUGGAGUGGAGCAGAGACUGAAGGAGGGGCUGUCCAGGGACUGACUGACCUGAGGAUCCAUCCCAUGUGCAGCGACGAAACCCAGACACUGGCUGAUGCCAAGGAGUGCUUACUGACAGGGACCUGAUAUAGAUACCACCUGAGAGGCUCUGUCAGAGCCUUAGGGAUACAGAUUUGGGUGCUUGCAGCCAAAUAUCUGACUGAGCCCUGGAACCCCAAUGGAGGAGUUGGGAGAAGGACUAAAGGAACUCAGGGGCUUUACAACACCAUGGGAGGAACAACAAUAUCAAGCAAA